GUGAUGUUGCCACGUAUGACUGUCCAUCAGCCAGGAGAUGAACCCCCACCCGUGAGGCAGUGACUCAAGGUGCAAGGGAGUCCGGCAAGAAGUGUGGCGCACCCGAGUUGCUGCCACUGCUUUUUGGAUCACCCAGCACGGUGAUGUUGCCACGUAUGACUGUCCAUCAGCCAGGAGAUGAACCCCCACCCGUGAGGCAGUGACUCAAGGUGCAAGGGAGUCCGGCAAGAAGUGUGGCGCACCCGAGUUGCUGCCACUGCUUUUUGGAUCACCCAGCACGGUGAUGUUGCCACGUAUGACUGUCCAUCAGCCAGGAGAUGAACCCCCCACCCGUGAGGCAGUGACUCAAGGUGCAAGGGAGUCCGGCAAGAAGUGUGGCGCACCCGAGUUGCUGCCACUGCUUUUUGGAUCACCCAGCACGGUGAAGUUGCCACGUAUGACUGUCCAUCAGCCAGGAGAUGAACCCCCCACCCGUGAGGCAGUGACUCAAGGUGCAAGGGAGUCCGGCAAGAAGUGUGGCGCACCCGAGUGCUGCCACUGCUUUUUGGAUCACCCAGCACGGUACGGCUUCUCCUGCCCCAAGACGUGUCGUGAAUUUCAGUUUCCUGGGACUGCCUGAGUGUUUGUUCG
rnacentral:lncRNA from 1 species